rnacentral:rRNA from 1 species
CCUACGGGCGGCUGCAGUGGGGAAUAUUGCACAAUGGGCGCAAGCCUGAUGCAGCCAUGCCGCGUGUGUGAAGAAGGCCUUCGGGUUGUAAAGCACUUUCAGCGGGGAGGAAGGCGUUAAGGUUAAUAACCUUGUCGAUUGACGUUACCCGCAGAAGAAGCACCGGCUAACUCCGUGCCAGCAGCCGCGGUAAUACGGAGGGUGCAAGCGUUAAUCGGAAUUACUGGGCGUAAAGCGCACGCAGGCGGUCUGCCAAGUCGGAUGUGAAAUCCCCGGGCUCAACCUGGGAACUGCAUUCGAAACUGGCAGGCUAGAGUCUUGUAGAGGGGGGUAGAAUUCCAGGUGUAGCGGUGAAAUGCGUAGAGAUCUGGAGGAAUACCGGUGGCGAAGGCGGCCCCCUGGACAAAGACUGACGCUCAGGUGCGAAAGCGUGGGGAGCAAACAGGAUUAGAUACCCCUGUAGUC